GUUAAUUUGGCAGAGUAAUGCAUUGAAAUUAGAAUUCAAUUAUAUAGCUUGGACUAUAUUUAAUA
rnacentral:tRNA from 1 species